ACAUCAAGUAGGUUGGUUAAGCACAUGCAAGAAGCAUAAUCGUGGCUAAGCAGCCACUUACUAUAUUAGUGUUUCCCAGUUAAGAAUAUAAAUCUUGUUUUCUUGUAAUUUUUGUGGCUAAUCAUGUAUUUAACCAAAAAUAAAUAAUUUUAAUUCUUUAAACAAUAACUAAACUUGAAAAGAAAAGCCAAAAUUCAAAUAACAUGAAAUCCAGUUAACAAUAUCUUACAUAACCAUUGCAAAUUAAAUAAUACAAAAGACUAACCAAAUAUACAAAAGAAACCUGAAAACACAAUCACAUAUAUUUAAAGACAUAGUAAAACACACCAAACAUGUAAGACCAUCUCCUAUGUAUAUUUCUAUUUUUUAUUCUAAAAUAUAGUAUGAUAUUUCUCUAAUGUAUCACUUCAUUUCUUCCUCUAAAAUAGAAUUAGUAUAAAAAAUAAAGUAUAAAAUAUAAUUGUUCUAUAUAUAGAGUGAGAUUGGAAAAAAUAUUAUUCUAUAACCGAGUUUAGAAAAAAAAAAAAAUAGAGUGGAUUGGAAUGUUGGAGAUGCUCUAAAUUGUUUUGGUUUGUUGUUGUAGGAGGGAUUCUCCGACUAGUUAGUUAGUUGUUUUGCAAACGUUACAUUUGCGGAUGAGUUUUUUUUUUUGUCACUUUUGCGGAUGACUACAGAAGAAUCUCUAAAUAUUUAUGCAGAAUUAUAUGAGUUUGAUGGAUGUUAUAUAAUCAAUUAAUAAUAGAAAAAGAAGCAUCUAUAGUUCUACACUGUCCUUGAAAGUUACUAAUACUCUGACUUAAUACCAGUAUUAGAGUAUUUAUUGGAAGGAAACAACAAAAUAAACAACGUGAUCGUUUUCAAAUCAUAUGCCAUAAAACAUAAUGAUGGACCUUUUUCUCAUUAACAUAAUGGUUUAGCAAACAUUAAUGAACAACAAGUUUGACCCUUCGCGGAGAUCUCGUAAGUGGUGUCAUCAUUAUAUUUGGAUUAAAAACUAUGAAUAUAUUAGCAUGUGGCCACAUGUAACUACAACAUUUGAUGAAUUGUACAAUGCAUUAGAGACUAAGCUUAUAUUUUUGCGAUCACUUGCAAUAUUUAAUGGCAUGGGCAAAAUAUUCGUUAGAUCCGUUUCGACUCGGUAUUCGUUUUGAUUCGAUUCGAAAAAUCCGAAUAUCCGUAAAAUUUUGGAGCAAAGCAAAUAGGAAAACGUAGUAUUCGUAAAAAACGGAGCAAAUAACAAAUAUUGUUUUUCUAAAAGUCGGAUAUCCGCUUCGAUCCGUAAUUUUCGAUAUAUAAUAAAAAAAAAUAUAUAUAUAUAUAUAUAUAUGCAUAUCAUAAUAUAUAUUUUUACUUGUAUUUGUAAAUUCAGUUUUUUAUCCUUCGGACUUGUGUUUGUGACAUAAUUUAAUAGUUUUUAUUAGUGAAGUGAAAUUUAUUAUUAAAAAAAAAUUAAUAUCCCUUAAAAAUAAGAAGUUGGAAUCCUGCGACGAUUUCUUUUUCCCAAAUUUAUCUUUUUCUUCGUAGUUUUAUACACGAGCGCUUAGCUUUUUAGGGUUUUAAUAGGUGCAGAAGUAUCGAAGCGGAUAUUCGCAAAUAUCACACAAAAAUCCGAAUAUUCGAUAUUCCGAAUAUCCGGAAAUUUUCGGAUCAAAGCAAAUCACAAAAUCAAGUAUUCGAUUGAAACGAAUCGAAUACUGAAUAUUCCAAAUUUUCUGGAUAUCCGCUUCGUGCUCAGGCCUAAUAUUUAUAUGCAGUGUAGUGUGAAUACAUAUAUAAGUAUUAUUGAACAAUAAUUGUGUAGGCUGGUUUUUUCUUCUAUUAUUAUUGUUUUGUAAAUAGCGAUAAAUCCAAAGAACAAGUCUCGAAGCUCGAGAUUCCAUUGAACUUUGGAUUUAAAAUAUAGAGAUAGGAUAUUACUAGCGAUGGUUUUGAAAAUUAUUUAAAAUAUGUUUGGAAAGCAAAGCAUGUAUUUUGUGGAUCAAGUAUUGUAAACUAUCAAAGUUUGUCUAUAAAAUUAAUCCCGUAAAACUCGAAAGAAAAAUAUACUUCAGAAUUUCUAAAUCUCCAUCAAUUACCUCUUGAAUUGACAAGGCAAAAUCGUUAAAGAUUGAUUUUUGUCUUGAAUUCCCUUUUAUUUUAUAGAGAGAUUCUAAGUGUCUAGUGGGUGCAAUAGACCAGCAAACAUCAAGUAAAUGAAUCAAGAUAAAUAUGAAAAAUUGAGACUUCUCUUCUGUCCAAGACCAAUAGUCUUGGUCCAUGAAGCCAGUGAAAGAAGAGCCACAAUGACAAUUUAUCGGUGCGAGCGAGAAUCGAUUGCUCUAAUACUAUGAUCGAUUGCUUUGAGAGACUUAUUGAUCUAGUCGUAGAAGAUAUUUCGAGAGACUUAUUCUGUUUUAGUCUUAUACAAGUUAUUUUUUGAAGAUUUCUAAAAUGUCUAGUAUGUGCUUUUUUGAGUUUUAAAAGUCUAAGGAGAAUGAGAAAAAAUUACAUUAUGUUUUAUAAUGUUUAAAAACAUUUUUUGUAGUGAAAUAUGCGUUGUAAUAAAAACAUUAUAUAAUAUUCUGUAAAAUAUUGAAGAUACUGACUUUUAGUUUCUAAUCUAUGGAAAAUAACACUUACAAUACAUAAUUUUACAAAACCAUCAAAUGAAAUUUUAAAAAUUUGGGACCCUUAAAUAUUCAUAAUAUUAUAGAUCAUAAGGCAAAUGCAUUUUAGUUUUGUAAUAAGGCACUCAUUGUUAUCUUCGUGGCUAAUUAAGCUCUCUUCAUCAACAACUACAUGAAUGUGUUAUGUUGUCACAUUAGCUCGUCAAAGUUUUUUGUGUCAAAUGUUUUGGAGAAUAAACUCAAACCAAAUCUGCAUCCAAAGAACAAUCCUCGAAGCUCGAGAUUCCACUGAACUUCUGACAUCUUGGAUUAAAAUAUACUCCUAGUUUAGAGAUAAGCUUUUACUAGUGAUGAUUUUAUAAAUCGUUAUUACUACUAAUUUGUUUUUUUUUUCUUAUGAAUUUAUAUAAUAAAGACUACUCCGAGUAUUAUUAAAUAGAUUAAGUGGAAUCCACCAUGACAUCGCAUAACUCUUUUUGCAUUCUUGUACCUUGACACAUUUCACUUUACUUUGAUCUGAGAACUAUAAGAAAUUGAGAAGUUAAGUUUAAUGUUUGUCAUUCUCUGGAUGCUAUCGGUUAAUAUCGCCCGGUUGUUACUGCGUUCUCUAACUUCUUUAUUCAGUUUGAAGCAAUUUUCAAAAGUUGAGACUAACCACAGUUGCCUUGGUCCAGACUCCAGUGGUCAAUGAGAGAAAAGUGUAUGGUACCUGCAUUAGCUACCGGAGUUCGAAUUCUAAUAUGGUUUUUCCAGAUCUCAUGAUUAAUUUUUAGCCUAAAAAGCCUUUAAUAUCACAUGAGUUACAAAAAAAAAAAUUGAGACGGUCAAAAUUUGAAUUGUGAAAAGAGUAAUCUAGUCUCCCCAGAGACUCGUUUUCUGCAUCUAUGAUAGAAGAAUCUGGAAUAUACGGCUAACUUUGAUUCUCUUUAUGGAUUCUUGGCUAAUAAUUUUGUUGUUUACUCAAGAAGUACUCUAGAGUAUAUACACUUAUUCAAGAUCAUGCCAUACUCUUUUGUGUUUCUUUUCUUUUACAAUAGAUCUUGUUCUCUCAUUUGUAGUUCUUUUGGGACACCAACUAUCAUAUUAAACAAGUUUAUUGAGUGAAUCGACAAUAGCUUAAAGAAACUUGAUCUAGUAAAUUAAAGUCGACAUCUACAAGUAGAGUGAAUUCAAUAUUAGUUAAUCAGAUUAGGCGGGAAUAACCCAACAUUAAUACAAUUUUUUCAUACACAUGUAAAAACCAACACAUCAACAAAUCUUUUUUUUUUGUCAACAACUUAAAUUAAAGCUCAAAAGAGCCAUUCUUGGGGAAUGUUGUUUACAUAUGUGAUAUGAAGCGGUUCGGUACGAACUUGUCGAGCCAAUUUAUCCGCUUUUACAUUUGCGCUACGAGGAAUUAAAGAUAAAGAAAAGCUUGAAAAUUCUUCCCUGUCACUCUGAAAGUCCUCCAGAUACACUGUAAAUGCCGGCCAUUCGGUUGGAGAAGACACCAUCUUCACCAAAUCUGAACAGUCUGUAAAGAAAGCUACAUCUUGGUUGUCAGCACCAAUCAUACACUUCAUCGCCCAAAGAAGAGCUUCGACUUCUGUAUGUAGAGGAGAUAGACUUCUACGGAUGUUGGCAGCUCCCAUGGUUGGCAUCUCUCCAUUUGAUGAUGUACAAUACCAUCUUGUUCCUGAAAAAGUAUCGGUUCCUUUCCAUGAUCCAUCUAUGAAACAACGAUAUCCUGAAUAAUUAGGCUCCAAUGAAAUUUCCCUCACUCGGUUUCGAUUUUCAUUAUCUAAAAAACCAUGGUUAUCAGUAUGAAGCUCAGUUUGAGCUAGCUGCCACGAUUUCGCCUCUUUCUCCGCUAAACGUAAGACCUCUAAUGGAUCUUUAUCCACAUUAUCAAAGAUUUUUUCAUUCCUUGCUUUCCAAAUGUACCAAAUUAUCCAUGGAUAAGAAGAUGAAUCUACCUAUGAAGGUAUUCUCCAAAAUAGGUGGUCCAAGUUCUCGUAAAUAGAAGCCGUAGGAAAAAUCCCCGGAACCGAAGGAAUUUGAGAAAGAGCCCAAAUUUGUCUCGCUGGAUGGCAUUCAAAAAGUGUAUGGUUAAUUGUUUCCUCUAUAGCGCCACAAGUAAUACAUCCUGUAUCACAAUUUAUACCUCUCUUUCGCAGAUUCUCCGUAACCGGUAAACAACCUGAUAAAAUUUGCCACAAAAAAUGUCAUAGCUUUGGUGGACAUUGCACCUUCCAAGCAUAUGCUUUUAGAGGUUUUAUAUCUGGGCCAAAAAAUUUUGAACUGGCAUCCAAGUCCUCUAUCCGGGCCGUAUGGUAACCAGAUUUAACCAGCGCGACAUCUUCUGGAUCAAAGAGCUCCUUCAACAAAUCAAAUCAAAGUUUAUUUUUUAUUUAUUUUUUUUUUUUUUGGGGCAAAUCAAAUCAAAGUUAUAUUUUAUAUGAAAAUGGGAUUUCUUUUCAUAUUCUCCAUGGAAACCUCUCAAGCUCUCCCCAUAGCUCUUGGAGGAAGGAUCACAUAGCUUUUUUAGAGAGUUAAGAAAUAUAAAAUAACAACAGUUUGAGAUUUACUUAUUGGGCUCUCUUAUGGGUUUCUAAUAACAAUCUCAACUUUCCUUAUUAUUUUUCACAGGCGAUUGGGCUAAACAGAGAUUUGAACUAGAUUUGAUUCUAUAGAUACUGACCAAAUUAGAGCAGCGACAAAUAGCAAACUACAUAAGAUGCUAAGAUUAUAAGAAGGAACUAUUGACAUGCAAGUUACUGAAAAAUGAUGGAUGGGGAUAAUAAGAAAUAAUUUCUUAAAAAAAAAUGUAUCCUCAAAAUCAAAAUCUUCGAACACAAUUAAAAAUGUGAACACAAAAGCAAAGUGUUUUAGUCUGAAAACAGAAAAUUUGAGGCAUUAAGCUCAAAAGAUAAAAAGCUACAAGAGACAUGAGAUAAAGAAAGCUGGACUGAUUUACUCUUCAUCGUCCUCAUCAUCAUCAUCACCACCUGCUCCAUUCAAUGCCUUGACUCUCUCGAUCAACUUGUUCUUCCUCUCCUCGUACGUCAGUUUCUUCAAGUUGUACCUGUUUUAGUUUAUACAACAAUCAAUCAAAAACACCAAGUGAGAUAACAAUACACCAAUGAGCCAGUACUACAGAAGACUAAUAAAGUUGCUUUUGUUUCUUUACCUCUUGUGUUGCUUGGGGGCAGGUUUCUCGGUUUUCUUUGGGUUGGGGUCUGCGCGAAUAGCCGCGUGAACCUUCUUGUACAACUCUUCGAUGCUCUCAGCUUCAACUCCUUUCUUGAUGUAUGCACUGAAGUGAGUUUGUAGCUUCUCUGGCUCAUCUUCUCCCAACAGCUUCAUGUAGUUUGAAACAUGGCCACCAUAGAUGUAGUUCCUGUGGAUUUCAGCAUCAAGUUGUUUGUUCUCCUUGUUGAAUCCAGCAAAUCUCUUGUCACUGUGAGGGAUAUCAAGACCUCCAUCCAAAGCACCCUACAGUUUCAUGAAGCAAACCAAAACGGAAUUAAAGAAUUGCCAGUAUCAUCAUUUGCUCAAGAAGAAAAACAGAUAAAAACACUUCUAGCAUAUUAAAUAAGAAAACAAGUUAAGUACCUUGAGGGCACCAAACACACGGUUUCCUGUUGUGGUCCUGAUAAGUCCGACAUCAAGAAGAGCACGGAAAGGUCUCCUCGACUCAGUUGGCUCAAUGGAAAAGUCCUCUCCAGUG
rnacentral:lncRNA from 1 species